AUACGGAGGGAGCAAGCGUUAUUCGGAAUCACUGGGCGUAAAGGACGCGUAGGCGGGUUUGUAAGUCAGGUGUGAAAUCCUACAGCUCAACUGUAGAACUGCACUUGAAACUACAGACCUAGAGUAUGGAAGGGGCAGAUGGAAUUAGUGGUGUAGGGGUAAAAUCCGUAGAUAUCACUAGGAAUACCGAAAGCGAAGGCGAUCUGCUGGGACAUUACUGACGCUGAGGCGUGAAAGCGUGGGGAGCAAACAGGAUUAGAAACCCUAGUAGUCCC
rnacentral:rRNA from 1 species